rnacentral:rRNA from 1 species
GAUGAACGCUGGCGGCGUGCCUAAUACAUGCAAGUAGAACGCUGAAGCUUGGUGCUUGCACCGAGCGGAUGAGUUGCGAACGGGUGAGUAACGCGUAGGUAACCUGCCUCUUAGCGGGGGAUAACUAUUGGAAACGAUAGCUAAUACCGCAUAAAAGUCGACAUCGCAUGAUGUUGACUUGAAAGGUGCAAAUGCAUCACUAAGAGAUGGACCUGCGUUGUAUUAGCUAGUUGGUGAGGUAACGGCUCACCAAGGCGACGAUACAUAGCCGACCUGAGAGGGUGAUCGGCCACACUGGGACUGAGACACGGCCCAGACUCCUACGGGAGGCAGCAGUAGGGAAUCUUCGGCAAUGGGGGCAACCCUGACCGAGCAACGCCGCGUGAGUGGAGAAGGUUUUCGGAUCGUAAAGCUCUGUUGUAAGAGAAGAACGAGUGUGAGAGUGGAAAGUUCACACUGUGACGGUAACUUACCAGAAAGGGACGGCUAACUACGUGCCAGCAGCCGCGGUAAUACGUAGGUCCCGAGCGUUAUCCGGAUUUAUUGGGCGUAAAGCGAGCGCAGGCGGUUAGAUAAGUCUGAAGUUAAAGGCUGUGGCUUAACCAUAGUACGCUUUGGAAACUGUUUAACUUGAGUGCAGAAGGGGAGAGUGGAAUUCCAUGUGUAGCGGUGAAAUGCGUAGAUAUUA